rnacentral:rRNA from 1 species
AGUGAACGCUGGCGGUAGGCCUAACACAUGCAAGUCGAACGGCAGCACAGUAAGAGCUUGCUCUUACGGGUGGCGAGUGGCGGACGGGUGAGGAAUACAUCGGAAUCUACUUUUUCGUGGGGGAUAACGUAGGGAAACUUACGCUAAUACCGCAUACGACCUACGGGUGAAAGCAGGGGAUCUUCGGACCUUGCGCGAUUGAAUGAGUCGAUGUCGGAUUAGCUAGUUGGCGGGGUAAAGGCCCACCAAGGCGACGAUCCGUAGCUGGUCUGAGAGGAUGAUCAGCCACACUGGAACUGAGACACGGUCCAGACUCCUACGGGAGGCAGCAGUGGGGAAUAUUGGACAAUGGGCGCAAGCCUGAUCCAGCCAUACCGCGUGGGUGAAGAAGGCCUUCGGGUUGUAAGGCCCUUUUGUUGGGAAAGAAAAGCAGCAGGUUAAUACCCCGCUGUUCUGACGGUACCCAAAGAAUAAGCACCGGCUAACUUCGUG